rnacentral:lncRNA from 1 species
UCACUCACACACACACUUGAACUCCCACAGCUCUCGCUGUUAAGCUCCAAACUAGUACUUCUGAAUUCCAAUGUCACCCUCUCAUCUCCUCACUCCACCGAAUUCCGAGCCAAUUCGGGCGUUGCAACGACCCUCUCCCUACCACCGUCGCAAUUGUAGCGAUGGCAGACGAGUCUGUCUACACUUGGCAUGAAGUGGAGCCUGCUUAAGAGGGUGCUCGGAAGCCUUCAAAACGAGCCUUCAAGCGGGUCGGGAGGACGGGAGGGAGGGGAUUUGAACACUCACCUGCAACGUUCUCACCAAGUGGCCUGAUUUUGUAUUCUCCUUACUGCCCCCUCAUGCCUCCUCCCGCUUCUUUUCACUUUUACGGUUGAAAAAGUUACCGUGCCGUGUGAAAGCGGUCGCGGAAACUCCAUCCCUAAGCUGCGAAUGAAUUGUGGCAUGUGUG